GGAUCAAAGCCCAUUGGUAGGGCAUCUGUUUUGCAUGUAGAAGGUUCAAGGUUCAAUCCCUGGUAUCUCCA